GAUUUCAGAGCCCUUAAUAUGUUAUGUAAAUGAUGACUUUCCCAAAAGGGUGACAGUAUUCAAGGUUUCCGAAAUGCAUUUCAUUGUGGAAUAUUAGUAGGGUUUUACAAAACAUGUCUUAGAAAAUGUUGUGUUAAAUCACCGACGUCCAGCUAUAUUUGUCUGGGUUAAAUUGACCACUAUUCCUCUGGAGUAGAACUAGAAACAUCAGGCAUGGUUCAUCAGGGAACUGGGUUCUAAAAGUAGUAAUUGACACAUUUAAUAAAACACUCUAGUCAUUGUGAGACACAGCAUGACCUGGAGACCCCAUGACUUCCAAGGCAGAUCACUAGUUGAGUUUCCAGAAAUGUGACCAUAGGGUAGUCUGAAGUCCAGAGGAGGAAUCUUUAGACCAGAGAGAAAACAGCCUUUUUACCCUGAGUGUUCACUGAGGGUUGGAAGAGAUGUCUACAAAAAUGAUUAUGGAAUAGCUUGGAACCCUCAGACACAAGCCUUCAGCACCCAGGCAGGUAGAAAGUGAUUCUGCACUUCAAGAGCCUUGAGGGGGCAAGCACAAGGGCUCAAGCUCAGGAGCAAGAACACCAGCUCUGGAGAAAGAAGCUGACUUCCCUGAGACUGCCAUGCUAUGAAGAAAGCCAAGGGAAGCCAUGUGGACAGGUCCUGGAAAAUGAGAUGCAUGUGGAGAGAGAAAGAAGAUAAAGAUUACAGAUACUGAGUGAAGAACCCAGCUUGAAGGAACUAUGUUGGCCUAUAUGUACAGCAAACUGAAUGUAUCAAAGAGUUAAUUCCCUUCAAGCAAUUUUCAACCUAUGAUGGGUAAAGAAGUUAUAAAUAAACUCAUUAACUUCUUCUCCCCUUUGUUAUGAUGACACUGAGGUAUGUUCUACACUGUCUCCCAGACACUCCCCUGCUGAAUUAAGUUCCAGCUAAUAAAAUGGUAAUCUUCUUAUAAUAUACA